GAUUAACGCUAGCGGCAGGCAUAAUACAUGCAAGUUGAACGGGAUUAGUUUAGCAAUAGACUAUGAGAGUGGCGCACGGGUGCGUAACACGUAUGCAACCUGCCCUUGACUGGAGAAUAGCCUCUCGAAAGAGAGAUUAAUGUUCCAUAACAUAAUGAUAGAGCAUUCUAUUAUUAUCAAAGCUCCGGCGGUCAAGGAUGGGCAUGCGGUUGAUUAGCUAGUUGGUGAGGUAACGGCUCACCAAGGCGACGAUCAAUAGGGGGUCUGAGAGGAUGUCCCCCCACACUGGUACUGAGACACGGACCAGACUCCUACGGGAGGCAGCAUUAGGGAAUAUUGGUCAAUGGAGGCAACUCUGAACCAGCCAUGCCGCGUGCAGGAAGACUGCCCUAUGGGUUGUAAACUGCUUUUGUACGGGAAGAAACCUUCGAAUGCGUUCGAAGUUGACGGUACCGUGAGAAUAAGGAUCGGCUAACUUCGUGCCAGCCGCCGCCGUAACAC
rnacentral:rRNA from 1 species